rnacentral:rRNA from 1 species
UACGUAGGGGGCUAGCGUUGUCCGGAUUUAUUGGGCGUAAAGAGCGUGUAGGCGGCCAGGUAGGUCUGGUGUGAAAACUCGAGGCUUAACCUCGAGAUGUCAUCGGAAACCAUCUGGCUAGAGUCCGGAAGAGGAGAGUGGAAUUCCUGGUGUAGCGGUGAAAUGCGCAGAUAUCAGGAAGAACACCAGUGGCGAAAGCAG